rnacentral:rRNA from 1 species
AUUGAACGCUGGCGGCAUGCUUUACACAUGCAAGUCGAACGGUAACAGGUUAAGCUGACGAGUGGCGAACGGGUGAGUAAUGCAUCGGAACGUGCCCGGUCGUGGGGGAUAACGCAGCGAAAGCUGCGCUAAUACCGCAUACGAUCUGAGGAUGAAAGCGGGGGACCGUAAGGCCUCGCGCGAUCGGAGCGGCCGAUGUCAGAUUAGGUAGUUGGUGGGGUAAAGGCCUACCAAGCCGACGAUCUGUAGCUGGUCUGAGAGGACGACCAGCCACACUGGGCAUGAGACACGGCCCAGACUCCUACGGGAGGCAGCAGUGGGGAAUUUUGGACAAUGGGCGCAAGCCUGAUCCAGCAAUGCUGCGUGCAGGAAGAAGGCCUUCGGGUUGUAAACUGCUUUUGUACGGAGCGAAAAGGCUCUCUCUAAUACAGGGGGCUCAUGACGGUACCGUAAGAAUAAGCACCGGCUAACUACGUGCCAGCCGCCGCCGUAA